UCCUUGUGGAUUCGAUCCCUAAGUACUGCAACUGAACAUCUUAUUUAAGAGAGUAAUUCACUCUUUAGGGUAAUUUGAGUGGUGUCAGUCGCUACGUAGCAACCGACCGAGUGGUUUGGUCGGUCGCUACGUAGCCACCGGCUCGUUUCGGACUGGUCGCUAUGUGGCGACCUUGUUUGGAUCUUUUCCCGAUGUUUUAUAAUCGUUUUCUUGGACUAUGGGUGUUUAUUUCGAUGGAUCAACCGAGAUUAGUGCAAGAUUUCAGCGCAAGGUUCUUCGUAAAGAUUUCUUUACGAAAAUUACUUUUUCGUAAAAGCGUUCAUGCCGAUUUUUACGGAUAUUUGGAUGUUAACUUCGUUGUGUCAGUUUUUGACCCCAACAAGCACUGAUGCCACCACUCGGGUUCUUCUUCGUUCUGGGAUAAAGAAGAUGCGUCUCGUCACAAAAGACGAGGAGGCUGCUGCAAUGUCCGAUUUUCCUGUUGAAGAAGAAGAAGAAAAGAGCGACGUUGUCGAUGAAGAAGGGAAGGGAUCUUUCUACGAAUCUGCGAAGAAGGGUGGAGAUGCAGUUAGAGAGACUGUAAAGGAAUGUUCGAUUGUGAUUGAGAGAGAGAUUGUUCUGGCGUGUCCUGCUAGUUUUAGUGAGCUGGCAAAACUUACUUCAAGAUCUUGCCUUGUUUAGUUGAAGAGUGGUCUUGGUUAUGAAAAUCCUGGUAGGAGGUUGACCCGAUCCAUGUUUAAGUCGGAGUGUAUCAAUUCUAAGGCUAAUGUUGAUGUUGAUGAAGAUCUUAUGAAUCCGGAAAGGGAAGCUAAAGAUAGUUGUGCUGCUGAAGGUAGCAAAUCUGAGGCUAAUGGUUCUGGUGAAGAUCAUCUAAAUGCAGAAAGGGAAGCUGAAGAUACUUGUGUUGCUGAAGGUAGCAAAUUUGAUCAUAGAAAUACAGAGAAAUAUGCUAAAGUUAGUGAAGAAAGUUGUGUUGAUGCGGCUACUUUAGUGGCAUGUGGGAGGAGGGAGGAAGAGCCUCAUGAGCAAAAUUGUGUGGAUCCAAUUGGGUUAUAGCAGACGAGUGGUCUUAGACGAUGUGGUGUUAAGAAGGCAGUGAAUGACACAGUAGAUAGGCCUUUGAGGAGGUUAACUAGUUCAUUAGUCAAACAAGAUAGUCCUGAUUUGGAAAGUAACACCGGAUCUUCAGACUUGGGCAAGGUAGAUGUGCAUGCCAAUGAUGUUGACAUGGAUGAUUUUCAAAAUCCGUUGGUUACAACCCCAAACAAACGUGGGAGGCCCAGAAAAUUUAUAAGGAGUUUCCCAGCAAAGCUGAAAGAGCUUUUCGAUUCUAGAAUACUUGAGGGGCUAACUGUAUACUAUCUUCGAUGUGCAAAGAUGAGAGAGGCAGGGGCUAGAGGGCUUAAAGGAGUAAUAAAAGGAUCUGGCAUUUUGUGCUUUCGUGGUGCCUGCAAAGGAACUCAAGUGGUUAGCCCGGCUGUGUACGAGCAUCAUGCUUCUAGCACAAAUAAGCGGUCACCUGAAUAUCUUACUGGAGUCUGGAUUCACGCUUCGUGAUGUCAUGAAUGCUUGCAAGGAAACUCCCUUUGAUACGCUAGAAGAAAAACUUCGCGCGGUAGUUGGACCAGAUUUAAAGAAAUCUAGCCUGUGUUUCAGUUGCCAAGGUCCAUUGGUUGAGCCUUGUGAAACAAAGUCAUUAUUUUUUUGCAAAGCGUGUUUGGAGAGAAAGGAACCCACUACAAGAAAACAUCAAGGAUUCUGAGGGAAAAAAUCGUCGGAAUUUCGUCGGAAUAUCGUUAUUCCGACGACAUACCGACGAAACACGUCGUCGAAAAUAAUUCCUCGGAAUUUAUUUUUUCCUCGGAAAUCCCUCGGAAUUUUCCGUCGGAAUUCCGAGGAAAUAAAUUUCCGAGG